GAGAAGAAGCUGAAGGAGGAACCAAAGAGAAAUCCCAUUUCAAAGUAAAUGAGAGCGUGAGCCAGUACACGCGACAGAAGCUGAAAUUAUCCAAGGAAAAUCAGUAUGAAGCACUCUAACGAAGUCAGCAUCCAAAGAACAUGAACAUAUAUAUGAGGAUUAUAAGAGGUAAAGGUAUAUUAUUUCGCUAUCAUAUUAGAUAACAUACAGCUUACGCAGAAAUAACACUCUCAUUUGCUGAUUUAGUUUGGAGAUCAUCUGAGACCUUCGUGUUGGACAACAUCAUCCACGAAGAUGCCAUUAGUAGAGUUAGCUGUUUUAUAUACAUGUUGAUAGUUCCUGACUACUCUAUCUCUGCAGAGGCAAAGAACAUAUUAGCAUCUGCAGUAUGAUGUAAACAAAUUAAAGCAAGAAACGUGUAUAAACACUUGUUCAGUUCUUUCAAUUCAGCCAGUAUGCAAGUUGCAGCACACCAAGCUCUGCCUCAAACUGAGGAGAUGGAACAUAAGUUCACAUAUGGCAGCUGUUUUCAGUAGACCUUCGUCACAAGGAAAGAAAAAACACAACAUUUAUAAAUGAAGACAUGUGCAGUAAGAAUAACAUGACAGUAAGAAAAUGAAGGCAUACAAGACAACAAGUAAUAAAUAAAACAACAGCAAGACCUUGACUCUAAUAGUUAAUGUCUCUAAAAUGUAGUAACAUUUAUAUACCCUGGGUUUUUGCUGAUAAGGGUUAGAUUGUCCAUAUGCAUAGUCAUUAUUCCUGUAAGGGGCAACUUGAGAAGUAAAAGCAGAUAUGAUGGUCAAGUAUCCCCGCCUCUUUUCUUUCAAUUUGGUUCGAGCGUGAGGUAAUAGUUUCUCCAUAAUAUUCUUUCAGAUUCAUGUUUUCCAGUUAUUUUUUUAGCCUUUAAUCUUGGGAUACCAAGAAGUCUAGAAUAGACAAUGUGGACUACUCUCAUUAGAAAUCGGGUGGCAGAGUUGGCAGUAUUAAGCUAAUAAAAAUGAAAACCUUUUUCAGAGAGCCCCGGAGGUUCUCGGAUGAUAAGUGCAGUCUGUUUUGGAAAACCGUCUCUGUACCAAGAUGAUGUUUGCAGCAUUGGCGUGUCAAUAGUGGGAUUUUCAAGAAGAUUAUGCCUUGUAGAAUCUGUUUUCAGACAGCGAGAUAGCAACAGCACCUCCUUUUUGUGAGCAGACGCCGUUUGAGUUGCAUAGCAGCCAGUCGUUCGUUUUUUUGGAAUCCAUCAGAUGUGGAAUUU
rnacentral:lncRNA from 1 species